GAUGAACGCUGGCGGCGUGCCUAAUACAUGCAAGUCGAGCGAACAGACGAGGAGCUUGCUCCUCUGACGUUAGCGGCGGACGGGUGAGUAACACGUGGAUAACCUACCUAUAAGACUGGGAUAACUUCGGGAAACCGGAGCUAAUACCGGAUAAUAUAUUGAACCGCAUGGUUCAAUAGUGAAAGACGGUUUUGCUGUCGCUUAUAGAUGGAUCCGCGCCGCAUUAGCUAGUUGGUAAGGUAACGGCUUACCAAGGCAACGAUGCGUAGCCGACCUGAGAGGGUGAUCGGCCACACUGGAACUGAGACACGGUCCAGACUCCUACGGGAGGCAGCAGUAGGGAAUCUUCCGCAAUGGGCGAAAGCCUGACGGAGCAACGCCGCGUGAGUGAUGAAGGUCUUCGGAUCGUAAAACUCUGUUAUUAGGGAAGAACAAAUGUGUAAGUAACUAUGCACGUCUUGACGGUACCUAAUCAGAAAGCCACGGCUAACUACG
rnacentral:rRNA from 1 species